UAAUACGGAGGAUCCAAGCGUUAUCCGGAUUCAUUGGGUUUAAAGGGUGCGUAGGCGGAAUGAUAAGUCAGUGGUGAAAGCCUGCAGCUUAACUGCAGAACUGCCAUUGAUACUGUCAAUCUUGAGUACAUUUGAUGUGGGCGGAAUGUGUCAUGUAGCGGUGAAAUGCUUAGAUAUGACACAGAACACCGAUUGCGAAGGCAGCUCACAAAACUGUAACUGACGCUGAGGCACGAAAGCGUGGGUAUCAAACAGGAUUAGAUACCCUGGUAGUCCACGCUGUAAACUAUGAUUACUCGAUGUUUGCGAUACACUGUAAGCGUCUAAGCGAAAGCGAUAAGUAAUCCACCUGGGGAGUACGCUCGCAAGAGUGAAACUUAAAGGAAUUGACGG
rnacentral:rRNA from 1 species